rnacentral:rRNA from 1 species
GACAGAGGGUGCAAACGUUGUUCGGAAUUACUGGGCGUAAAGCGCGUGUAGGCGGCUAUGUAAGUCGGGCGUGAAAUCCCACGGCUCAACCGUGGAAGUGCACCCGAAACUGCGUAGCUAGAGUCCUGGAGAGGAAGGUGGAAUGCUUGGUGUAGAGGUGAAAUUCGUAGAUAUCGGGAGGAACACCGGUGGCGAAGGCGGCGACCUGGGUAGAUACUGACGCUGAGGUGCGAAAGCGUGGGGAGCAAACAGG